rnacentral:rRNA from 1 species
UACGUAGGGUGCAAGCGUUGUCCGGAAUUAUUGGGCGUAAAGAGCUCGUAGGCGGUUCGUCGCGUCGGCUGUGAAAUCCCGAGGCUCAACCUCGGGUCUGCAGUCAAUACGGGCGGACUGGAGUACUGCAGGGGAGACUGGAAUUCCUGGUGUAGCGGUGAAAUGCGCAGAUAUCAGGAGGAACACCGGUGGCGAAGGCGGGUCUCUGGGCAGUUACUGACGCUGAGGAGCGAAAGCGUGGGGAGCGAACAGG